rnacentral:rRNA from 1 species
AGAGUUUGAUCCUGGCUCAGGACGAACGCUGGCGGCGUGCUUAACACAUGCAAGUCGAACGGACCUUAUUUGGAGGAAGCUUUCGGGUAGACACUGAAUAAGGUUAGUGGCGGACGGGUGAGUAACGCGUAGAUAAUCUACCUUAAAGACUGGGACAACAGUUGGAAACGACUGCUAAUACCGGAUAAGCUAAACGGAAGGCAUCUUCUGUUUAGGAAAGGAGGCCUCUUAACAAUGCUCCCGCUUUUAGAUGAGUCUGCGUCUGAUUAGCUAGUUGGUGGGGUAACGGCUUACCAAGGCGACGAUCAGUAGUCGGCCUGAGAGGGUGACCGGCCACAUUGGGACUGAGACACGGCCCAAACUCCUACGGGAGGCAGCAGUGGGGAAUCUUCCGCAAUGGGCGAAAGCCUGACGGAGCAACGCCGCGUGAUCGAAUGAAGGCCUUCGGGUUGUAAAGAUCUGUUGACAGGGACGAAUAAGCCAUGCGAAUAGUUUGGUGUAUGACGGUACCUGUUUAGAAAGCUCCGGCUAACUACGUGCCAGCAGCCGCGGUAAUACGUAGGGAGCAAGCGUUGUCCGGAAUUACUGGGCGUAAAGGGCGCGUAGGUGGGUGCUUAAGUCAGGUGUGAAAACUCUGGGCUCAACCUGGAGACUGCACUUGAAACUGGGUAUCUUGAGGGCAGGAGAGGAAAGUGGAAUUCCUAGUGUAGCGGUGAAAUGCGUAGAUAUUAGGAGGAACACCAGUGGCGAAGGCGACUUUCUGGACUGUACCUGACGCUGAGGCGCGAAAGCGUGGGUAGCGAACGGGAUUAGAUACCCCGGUAGUCCACGCCGUAAACGAUGAAUACUAGGUGUAGGAGGUAUCGACUCCUUCUGUGCCGCAGCAAACGCAAUAAGUAUUCCGCCUGGGGACUACGGUCGCAAGACUAAAACUCAAAGGAAUUGACGGGGACCCGCACAAGCGGUGGAGCAUGUGGUUUAAUUCGACGCAACGCGAAGAACCUUACCAGGGCUUGACAUCCCUCGCUAUCUGUGGAAACACGGAGUUCCGUAGCUUGCUACGGACGAGGAGACAGGUGGUGCAUGGUUGUCGUCAGCUCGUGUCGUGAGAUGUUGGGUUAAGUCCCGCAACGAGCGCAACCCCUACGUCCAGUUGCCAGCACGUUAAGGUGGGAACUCUGGAGGAACUGCCGGUGACAAACCGGAGGAAGGUGGGGAUGACGUCAAAUCAUCAUGCCCUUUAUGUUCUGGGCUACACACGUGCUACAAUGGCCGGUACAGAGGGCGGCGAAGCCGCGAGGUGGAGCGAAUCCCAAAAAGCCGGUCUAAGUUCGGAUUGCAGGCUGCAACCCGCCUGCAUGAAGUCGGAAUCGCUAGUAAUCGCGAGUCAGCAUAUCGCGGUGAAUACGUUCCCGGGUCUUGUACACACCGCCCGUCACACCAUGGGAGUUGGCAACACCCGAAGUCGAUGAGCUAACCGCAAGGAGGCAGUCGCCUAAGGUGGGGUUGAUAACUGGGGUGAAGUCGUAACAAGGUAACC